AAAUUCACUGAAAAGGGUCACCUCACCAAACACACCCUGACACACAGUGGUGUUAAAAAUUAUGAAUGUCUGGAAUGUGGAAAGAAAUUCACCACAAAGAGUGAACUCACCAAACACACCCUGAGACAGCGGCAUCAGGAAUCAUGAGUGUAAGGAGUGUGGCAAGAAAUUCUUCACCAUUAGUGCUCUCAACAAACAUGCCUUAAGACACACUGGCUUGAGGGAGUUCAAGUGUGAUGUUUGUGGCAAGUGUUUCAAGACUAAGAGUGACAUUGCCCGGCAUGUGAAGAUCCACUUUUGAGGUGGUGUGUUGUGUGGACCGGUAGGGCCACAUCUACGCCUGUGGUGGUGGUGGUGGUGGUGAGUGGUGUAUUUCUUUUUUCUUAUUCCUCUUGAGUUGCCUCCUCCCAACCUUGGCCUGACCUUCCAGCCUUUGGUCCUUGGCACAGCCAGGUGAAGCACGCCUUCAGUGGGAACCGGUCUCCUGAGGGUGUCACCAAGGCUCUCCAUCUCCAGCAGGACGUGGCGGGGGUCAAGAUGGCAGGCAAGCAAGCAAGUAAGACGUUGGUGUGUGUUGGAUGCCUGCGUGACUCCAUGCUACGCUGGCCUGCCACACCACAGGAUACAUUGAUGAUAGUGUCACCUCAGCACACACUACACUGUUGUCAUGUGUGGCAGUGCCUGUAAGGACACCACACCCCUGUGGUCUGUUAUUGUAAGGAGUGUGUUUGUUGUAUACUGGGAUACAAGGUAGAAGGAAGCAGUGUA